GUGCUUGCUUUGGCGGUACAUACGCUAAAAUUGGAGCGAUACAAAAGAAGAUGAGCAUGCCCCCUGAGCAAGGAUGACACACAAAACAGUGAAGCUUGGAAAAAUGGU